rnacentral:tRNA from 1 species
UGCGCAUGGAGAGACUCGAACUCUCAACUUCUGGUUUCUAAAACCAGUGACUCUGCCAAUUGGCCUACACGCGC